rnacentral:rRNA from 1 species
AGCAGCCGCGGUAAUUCCAGCUCCAAUAGCGUAUAUUAAAGUUGUUGCAGUUAAAAAGCUCGUAGUUGAAUUUCGGGAUCAAUAUGUCGGUCGUGCCUUCGGUACGUACUGGUAUUAUUGGUUUCUCCUUUCUGACGAACCAUGAUGUCAUUAAUUUGGUGUUAUGGGGAGUUAGGACUGUUACUUUGAAAAAUUAGAGUGUUUAAAGCAGGCUUUAGCUUGAAUACAUUAGCAUGGAAUAAUGAAAUAGGACGUUCGAACCUAUUUUGUUGGUUUCUAGGAUCAACGUAAUGAUUAAUAGGGAUAGUUGGGGGCAUUAGUAUUCAAUUGUCAGAGGUGAAAUUCUUGGAUUUAUUGAAGACUAACUACUGCGAAAGCAUUUGCCAAGGAUGUUUUCAUUAAUCAAGAACGAAAGUUAGGGGAUCGAAGACGAUCAGAUACCGUCGUAGUCUUAACCAUAAACUAUGCCGACUAGGGA